CGCCCUCGUCCCGGGUACAUGCCUCCGAGCGCUGCGUCUCCUCCUACCACCUGCAGACUUGCUUCACCCAUCGCCGCCACGCCAAACCUGCGCCCCGUGUCAACUCGCUGCUGGGAUGGAGGUCCAAGGCGGCCGGCGGCCAUUCCAACCUUCCAGGUAUUUGUACAAGACGUUUGGUGUGUGGCAACAUCUGUUUUUAGAUGACACCGGAUCAGAAAACGUUGAAAGGGGAUCCUCUUCGCAGCUUCGUGUCCAUCUGCGCAUCAGUAAUUAAUUGAGAUGCCGGCGAACAGUCAUGGAUAGUUAACAAAAGUCUGCUGAAGCAAGCUCGAAAACUUGAAACUGGAGCUAAACAAACUCAAUGCUUAUCGGGGCUUGCACUCCUGGUUCAUGUCAAUGUUGACGUAUACUAAUUAUGUGUAUACCAAUGAAUGUGAUUGUUCUAGAUGAAUA